GAAAUGCGAUUCGUAAUGUGAAUUGCAGAAUUCAGUGAAUCAUCGAAUCUUUGAACGCACCUUGCGCUCCUUGGUAUUCCGAGGAGCAUGCCUGUUUGAGUGUCAUGAAAUCUUCAACCCACCUCUUUCUUAGUGAAUCUGGUGGUGCUUGGUUUCUGAGCGCUGCUCUGCUUCGGCUUAGCUCGUUCGUAAUGCAUUAGCAUCCGCAACCGAACUUCGGAUUGACUUGGCGUAAUAGACUAUUCGCUGAGGAUUCUAGUUUACUAGAUCCGAGUUGGGUUAAAGGAAGCUCCUAAUCCUAAAGUCUAUUUUUUGAUUAGAUCUCAAAUCAGGUAGGACUACCCGCUGAACUUAAGC
rnacentral:misc_RNA from 1 species